rnacentral:rRNA from 1 species
GCCUGCCAGCGAUCCGCCGGCGUUCCUCCGAUGACACGGCGGGCAGCUACCGGGAAACCAAAGCUUUUGGGUUCCGGGGGAAGUAUGGUUGCAAAGCUGAAACUUAAAGGAAUUGACGGAAGGGCACCACCAGGAGUGGAGCCUGCGGCUUAAUUUGACUCAACACGGGAAAACUCACCAGGCCCGGACACCGGAAGGAUUGACAGAUUAAGAGCUCUUUCUUGAUUCGGUGGGUGGUGGUGCAUGGCCGUUCUUAGUUGGUGGAGUGAUUUGUCUGGUUUAUUCCGAUAACGAACGAGACUCCAGCCUGCUAACUAGACGCCCCGGUAUCUAGCUACCGGCGAGCUAAAAGCUUCUUAGAGGGACAGGCGGCUCCUAGCCGCACGAGACUGAGCAAUAACAGGUCUGUGAUGCCCUUAGAUGUCCUGGGCUGCACGCGCGCUACAUUGGACAAGGCAGCGUGUCUUCCCUGUCCGAGAGGACCGGGUAAUCCGCUGAAACUUGUCCGUGCCUGGAAUUGGGGAUUGCAAUUCUUCCCCAUGAACAAGGAAUUCCGAGUAAGCGCGAGUCAUAAGCUCGCGUUGAUUACGUCCCUGCCCUUUGUACACACCGCCCGUCGCUACUACCGAUUGAAUGAUUUAGCGAGGUCUUCGGACUGGCGCGCGGACGCCGCCUCGGCGGAGCCCGUCGCCGCCGGAAAGAUGAUCGAACUUGAUCAUUUAGAGGAAGUAAAAGUCGUAACAAGGUUUCCGUAGGUAAACCCUGC